CGCCCUAAGUGGCACAUCAAAUUUUGCCACCCUGGACAUUGCAGUCGGGAUUUGAAGUAGGUCUCAUCAUGAUCAUGCACGUGUCUCAAUCAGGAGAAGGCGUUUACAGUGGCUGGUGGUAGAGAAAAGCACAUGUUCUCCUCAAAACAGUCCGUCAUUUUCUCGGAGAUGAUUUGUACAUCAGGAUGUUUCACCUUUUGGUUUUUCGUUUUCUCAUCUAGGAUCUAGGAGAAGAGAUAAUCUCAUAUUCAUUAGGUUAUCGUCAUAUUAUCGUACAAGUUUGUGAUAAUUGUCCAAAACAUCAUUCCCAGUACUUCCUUGCUCAAGCAGCACACCUCCUGGCGUGAAGUUUAUAUCAUGCCAAUUCUCUUUGAUGAGUAAUAGGGUAAGUCUAAUAAACCUACAUAAAGAUUCUUUAAUUCAGUUUGCAUAUGAGCAAUGUAGUACGCCUGAUCAAUUUGCAUAAAGAUUAUAUGUUAUUUCAGUUGUCGCUGA